AAGCAAGAAAGAUAGAUAUAAUUUCAGCAGAUGCAAAUUGCCAUGCUAUAAUGCUACAGGUAUAAGAAAGGCUACAAAUACCUAAAUGGCAUCCUCUUUACUCAGCCUCUUCUGCAUCUGGUCUCUGUAAUCACAAGGGGGGAAAGCCUAAGCUGAGGCUAGCUCAGCCAGAGACAAGCCUGAGGAUAUGCCAGCUGUGACACUGGAAAAUCAAAGCAACUGUGGCUCAUGAGAUGAAUAGGUUCCUCACCUGUAACAAUGUUUCUUUGAGUGGUCUUCCAUGCAUUCACAUGUAUAGCAUUGCAUCUACACAGAGACUAGUCCCAGACCUUGUAAGAGCCUAAGGAGAGAAAUUUUUGAUGGUAACCCCACCCCCUCUCUAGCUCUUUAGAGGCUCUCCCACCCAAAUCUCCUCAGUUGGAGCCACCACUGCAGAUCCCGUAACAGGAAGUUAAAUAGGCUGCAGUGGGGAGGGAGAGUUGUGUGAAUGCAUAAAAGGCAACUCAAAGAAACAUUGUUACAAGUGAGUAAACUCUUCUUCUUCCUCUUCUUCUAUCAUCACAUGUAUGGGAAAUAGCAAGAGUCUUACUUUAAGACAAGGAGAUGGGGCAGCCUUGCCUAGCUGUGACAGCAGUCUGGAGCACCAUGGAACCAAAGAUGGCAUCCCUUCUAGCCUGCAGCUCCACGGCUCUGAAGAUAGUACACUGAGACCAGGUCGCGGUUCUGCUGAUUGCGUCUAGAAGAACACCCUCAAGGAACACUGCAGAAGUUGCCAUGGGCCUGGUGGAAUGGGCGUUUAGAAAAGCAGGUGUCUGAGAAUCCAGAAAGAACACCAGGAGCAAUAUUUCUUGGGAAUCAGGGAACUGAGACACGACCUUGAUCAAGAAGUUGCUGUCAGGAGUUAAAGAGACCUUAUCCACAUGAAAGCAGGAAACUGGUACAGAGAACAAGAAACAUGAUGUGACGAGAUGGCCAUGAGAUGUACCUUCAAUGAAGCAAUGGACAGUCCUGAACACUUCAGGUGCAACAGGUAUGAUGCGUAGAAGGCCUGAGGACAUUGUGGAACAUGGAUUGGACAGUUGCAGCAGCCUGUGAGGGGCUGAUCACUGCAGGUCGCAAGGUUGUAGUCGCCAUACUGUCAGAGAAAGCACUGAAAAGUUUGGAUACUGGAUAUUGAUUUCCAGAUCUCCAGAAGAGUCAGCAGAUCUGGACGGCCUGGCAACCAAAGUGAACUCCCCUCCCAAGCCCAUGUCUGGUGUGUGGGAGAAUGCAUUUUGAGGAGGCCAUUAGUCCCAGAGUGCACUGAAUCUGGAACGCAGUGGCCCAGGGUGCUGAUGCGAGAUGAGUGGCAGCAGUAAUGAUGUCGAUUCGCCCCAGCGGUAGUAAGGCAGCACCAAGGUUGUCCCAGUCUCAAAUGAGCAUGGAGUGCAGCCAUGCUGGAGACAGAAGCCACAGUAAGCGCUCUUCCCAGAGCAGAGGAAGCAGUCCAGGCUACCCUUUUCACUGUGAAGGACUGCACUCCCAAUGCCCUUUCCCACAGGAGUGAGUGAAGGCGGGAGGCCUGGUUACGGCAAGUCUGUCACAUAAAACUUUGGCAAACUGAGCAGGCCUCCACUCAGUGCCAUCCCCCCAGGCAAGAGAAACUCCUUGAAUGGCAAUCCAAGAGGAUACAGAACAGAUGCCUGCACCUGAACUGAGCUUUUCAGGAAGGAAGUCUGAAGAACUAGUCUCCCUUGAUUAACCUGCUACAUUACAGUAUUACAGAGGCAGCGGCGAUGCCACCUUCUCUUCUCCCCCUAGCCCCCCCAUCUACAAACAGGAAGAGGGCCAGCCCCCGCAACGAGCCUCAGUGAGGUGGGAACCCCCUGCUGCUGCUCAGGCUCAGCCUGGUCUUCCUCGCUAGUGGCCUCUAAUUUCGCUUCUCUCGUUGUCUGGGGCACAAAAGCUUCUGACUAUGGAGAAAAGGAGAUAGCUCAAUCGUAUAGCUGGAAUACUUGAUUGUAAGCAUUAUUAGCUCAAAUACAAAUGAGCCAGUAUUGAUUGUC